rnacentral:rRNA from 1 species
UACGUAGGGGGCAAGCGUUGUCCGGAUUUAUUGGGCGUAAAGAGCGUGUAGGCGGCCAGGUAGGUCCGUUGUGAAAACUCGAGGCUCAACCUCGAGACGUCGAUGGAAACCAUCUGGCUAGAGUCCGGAAGAGGAGAGUGGAAUUCCUGGGUGUAGCGGUGAAAUGCGCAGAUAUCAGGAAGAACACCCGUGGCGAAGGCGGCUCUCUGGGACGGUACUGACGCUGAGACGCGAAAGCGUGGGGAGCGAACAGG